GACGAGCGCUGGCGGCGUGCUUAACACAUGCAAGUCGAACGGAAAGGCCCUGCUUUUGUGGGGUGCUCGAGUGGCGAACGGGUGAGUAACACGUGAGUAACCUGCCCUUGACUUUGGGAUAACUUCAGGAAACUGGGGCUAAUACAGGACAGGAGCUCAUGCUGCAUGGUGGGGGUUGGAAAGUUUCGGCGGUUGGGGAUGGACUCGCGGCUUAUCAGCUUGUUGGUGGGGUAGUGGCUUACCAAGGCUUUGACGGGUAGCCGGCCUGAGAGGGUGACCCGCCACAUUGGGACUGAGAUACGGCCCAGACUCCUUCGGGAGGCAGCAGUGGGAAAUAUUGCACAAUGGGCGGAAGCCUGAUGCAGCAACGCCGCGUGCGGGAUGACGGCCUUCGGGUUGUAAACCGCUUUCGCCUGUGACGAAGCGUGAGUGACGGUACUGGGUAAAGAAGCACCGGCUAACUACGU
rnacentral:rRNA from 1 species